AAACUUUCAACAACGGAUCUCUUGGUUCCGGCAUCGAUGAAGAACG
rnacentral:rRNA from 1 species